UUCUCACGCUACAACCUUUCAUUGCACUGUUUUGCAGAUGACUUGCAGAUCUAUCUGCCUUUAAAAGCAGGGACAGACCAACUUCAGCUAUUAUUACGCUGCCUGGAGGACAUCAAACAGUGGAUGUCUUUAAAUGUUUUAAAAUUAAAUGAAAACAAAACAGAAGUUGUCAUUUUUGGUAACUUCGUUAAUAAUCACACUGACAGUGCUCUGGGCCCAUUAUCCAUGUAAGACAAAUGUUAGAAACCUCGGUGUGCAUGUUGAUGGUUCCCUCAAACUGUGUAGGCAGGUGAGCGCAGCAGUCUAAUCCAGCUUUAUUCAUUUAAGACAGCUAGCCAAGGUUAAGCCACACCUUCCAGCCAAUGUCUUUGAACGUGUUAUUCAUCUCUUCAUUACGUGCAGACUGGACUACUGCAAUUCUUUGGUUUGGACCAGGCCUCCCUCUAUCAUCUCCAGCUGGUCCAAAAUGCAGCUGCUAACUGGAGCAUGCACUUACCGGCCGAGCCGCCUCUCACUCAUCUGAGCUCCUGUUUAUUCAUGCUCCAGAGAAAACCAUGAGGUCCAGUUCAAAACUGAUGUUAUCCAUUCCACGAACCAAACUUCAGUCUCGUGGUGACAGAGCCUUCUGUGUGGCAGGCCCCACACUUUGGAAUAGUCUUCCUCUAAAUAUUAGAUCUGCACAAACGCUCUAACAGUUUAAAUCAUUACUAAAGACACAUUUUUAUGGUCUGCCUUUUAACACACUUUGACCUAAACAUUUUGGUUUUGACAGACUUAGUUGUUAUUUUAGUUGUUUUUAUUGACUUAUUUCAUCUACUUAUUUGUUUUUUCUAUAUUUUACUAAAUCAUUGUUUUACAUUUUUUUGUUUUAGUGGCAUUUUAAAUUCUUAAGCACUUUGUGCAGGAUGGACUGUUUGGAAAUGUGCUGUAUAAAUAAACUUGACCAUGACCUGUACCUUUAA